rnacentral:rRNA from 1 species
CAGUCGCCGCGGUAAUACGCAGGUGGCGAGCGUUGUCCGGAUUUAUUGGGCGUAAAGGGAGUGUAGGCGGUCUUUUAAGUCUGAUGUGAAAGCCCACGGCUCAACCGUGGAGGGUCAUUGGAAACUGGGAGACUUGAGUGCAGAAGAGGAGAGCGGAAUUCCAUGUGUAGCGGUGAAAUGCGUAGAUAUAUGGAGGAACACCAGUGGCGAAGGCGGCUCUCUGGUCUGUAACUGACGCUGAGGCUCGAAAGCGUGGGGAGCAAACAGGAUUAGAUACCCGCGUAGUCCCUGUCUCUUAUAC